rnacentral:rRNA from 1 species
AGAGUUUGAUCCUGGCUCAGGAUGAACGCUAGCGGCAGGCUUAAUACAUGCAAGCCGAACGGGAUCCGAGGUAGCAAUACUUUGGUGAGAGUGGCGCACGGGUGCGUAACGCGUAUGCAACCUACCUAUAACUGGGACACAACCAGCCGAAAGGCUGGCUAAUAUUCCAUAACAUUGCGAUGUGGCAUCACAUUGCAAUUAAAGCUCCGGCGGUUAUAGAUGGGCAUGCGUGACAUUAGCUAGUUGGUGAGGUAACGGCUCACCAAGGCUACGAUGUCUAGGGGUUCUGAGAGGAUUUUCCCCCACACUGGUACUGAGACACGGACCAGACUCCUACGGGAGGCAGCAGUAAGGAAUAUUGGGCAAUGGACGCAAGUCUGACCCAGCCAUGCCGCGUGAAGGAUGAAGGCCCUAUGGGUUGUAAACUUCUUUUAUACGGGAAAAAACCUCCGGUCGUGAAUCGGAGCUGAUGGUACCGUAAGAAUAAGCAUCGGCUAUCUCCGUGCCAGCAGCCGCGGUAAUACGGAGGAGGCAAGCGUUACCCGGAUUCAUUGGGUUUAAAGGGUGCGCAGGCGGAGUGAUAAGUCAGUGGUGAAAUCCUACGGCUCAACUGUAGAACUGCCAUUGAUACUGUCAUUCUUGAGUACUGUUGAGGUGGGCGGAAUGUGUCAUGUAGCGGUGAAAUGCUUAGAUAUGACACAGAACACCGAUCGCGAAGGCAGCUCACCAAGCAGAAACUGACGCUCAUGCACGAAAGCGUGGGGAUCAAACAGGAUUAGAUACCCUGGUAGUCCACGCUGUAAACGAUGAUCACUCGAUGUUGGCGAUAUACAGUCAGCGUCUUAGCGAAAGUAUUAAGUGAUCCACCUGGGGAGUACGGUCGCAAGAUUGAAACUCAAAGGAAUUGACGGGGGCCCGCACAAGCGGAGGAGCAUGUGGUUUAAUUCGAUGAUACGCGAGGAACCUUACCUGGGCUCGAACGUGGUAUGACAGUCGCGGAAACGUGAUCUUCCUUCGGGACAUUCUACGAGGUGCUGCAUGGUUGUCGUCAGCUCGUGCCGUGAGGUGUCGGGUUAAGUCCCAUAACGAGCGCAACCCCUACCUUUAGUUGCCAUCAGGUAAUGCUGGGGACUCUAAAGGAACUGCCUACGCAAGUAGUGAGGAAGGCGGGGAUGACGUCAAAUCAGCACGGCCCUUACGUCCAGGGCUACACACGUGCUACAAUGGCCGGUACAGAGGGCAGCCACCUGGUGACAGGGAGCAAAUCUCCAAAGCCGGUCUCAGUUCGGAUCGAAGUCUGCAACCCGACUUCGUGAAGUUGGAUUCGCUAGUAAUCGCGCAUCAGCCAUGGCGCGGUGAAUACGUUCCCGGGCCUUGUACACACCGCCCGUCAAGCCAUGGAAGCUUGGGGUACCUAAAGUCCGUCACCGCAAGGAGCGGCCUAGGGUAAAACAGGUAACUAGGGCUAAGUCGUAACAAGGUAACCGUAA